UACGAAGGGUGCAAGCGUUAAUCGGAAUUACUGGGCGUAAAGCGUGCGUAGGCGGUGAUUUAAGUCUGCUGUGAAAUCCCCGGGCUCAACCUGGGAAUGGCAGUGGAUACUGGAUCGCUAGAGUGUGAUAGAGGAUGGUGGAAUUCCCGGUGUAGCGGUGAAAUGCGUAGAGAUCGGGAGGAACAUCAGUGGCGAAGGCGGCCAUCUGGAUCAACACUGACGCUGAGGCACGAAAGCCAGGGGAGCAAACGGG
rnacentral:rRNA from 1 species